GAUAAUGCAAUAGAAGCAGUGGAUGAAUUUGCUUUUCUGGAAGGUACUUUGGAUUGAUUGCUGGCCGGGCAGUUUUGUGAGCGUUCAUCUGCAUCCUCCAGCUCGUCCCUCUCUAGAGGCCUCAGCUUUGAAGAACAGAGUCUUUGCACUUACACUCUCCCUGUUCUACCUUCACCUAUGCCAGGAUGAGCAGAGAUCUCAUCUGGUAGCUUUUCUCUACAAGGUCUUCCACAACUUAUAUCUGUCUUCCAUGUCUGGCCUGGUUGCAGCUGCUGCUGUUUGGAGCAGAGAUGAAGAAAGUGUUCUGCAUAAGUGGCUUACGGAAAAACGAGGACCAGAAUAAAGGUCAUUGGUCAACUUCA